UACGGAGGGUGCAAGCGUUAUCCGGAUUCACUGGGUUUAAAGGGUGCGUAGGUGGCUAUAUAAGUCAGUGGUGAAGCCCGCGGCUCAACCGUGGAAUUGCCAUUGAAACUGCAUAGCUUGAGUACAAUUGAAGUGGGCGGAAUACAUCAUGUAGCGGUGAAAUGCUUAGAUAUGAUGUAGAACACCGAUGCUGAAGGCACUCACUAAGUUGUAACUGACACUGAGGCACGAAAGCGUGGGUAGCGACAGG
rnacentral:rRNA from 1 species